GUUGCGAUGGCCAAGUGGCCAAGAUGUUGGAUUCAAAAUUCAAUGGGGGGUGCCCCAUGCAGGUUCGAACCCUGCUUGCAGCA